GUGGGGAAUAUUCCGCAAUGGACGAAAGUCUGACGGAGCAACGCCGCGUGAGUGAUGAAGGUUUUCGGACUGUAAAGCUCUGUUGUUUAGGACGAAAGUGCCUGUUGCGAACAGUUACAGGUAUUGACGGUACUAAACGAGGAAGCCACGGCUAACUACGUGCCAGCAGCCGCGGUAAUACGUAGGUGGCAAGCGUUGUCCGGAAUUAUUGGGCGUAAAGAGCAUGUAGGCGGGAAGCUAAGUCUGUUGUGAAAAUGCGGGGCUCAACCCCGUAUUGCGAUGGAAACUGGGUUUCUUGAGUGCAGGAGAGGAAAGGGGAAUUCCCAGUGUAGCGAUGAAAUGCGUAGAUAUUGGGAGGAACACCAGUGGCGAAGGCGCCUUUCUGGACUGUGUCUGACGCUGAGAUGCGAAAGCCAGGGUAGCGAACGGGAUUAGAAACCCUGGUAGUCC
rnacentral:rRNA from 1 species